AACGAACGCUGGCGGCAUGCCUAACACAUGCAAGUCGAACGAGACCUUCGGGUCUAGUGGCGCACGGGUGCGUAACGCGUGGGAACCUGCCCUUAGGUUCGGAAUAACUCCCCGAAAGGGGUGCUAAUACCGGAUAAUGUCUUCGGACCAAAGAUUUAUCGCCUUUGGAUGGGCCCGCGUUGGAUUAGCUAGUUGGUAGGGUAAAAGCCUACCAAGGCGACGAUCCAUAGCUGGUCUGAGAGGAUGAUUAGCCACACUGGGACUGAGACACGGCCCAGACUCGUACGGGAGGCAGCAGUGGGGAAUAUUGGACGAGGGGCGAAAGCCUGAUCAAGCAAUGCGGCGUGAGUGAUGAAGGCCUUAGGGUUGUAAAGCUCUUUUACCCGGGAUGAUAAUGACAGUACCGGGAGAAUAAGCUCCGGCUAACUCCGUG
rnacentral:rRNA from 1 species